rnacentral:rRNA from 1 species
UACAGAGGGUGCGAGCGUUAAUCGGAAUUACUGGGCGUAAAGCGUGCGUAGACGGUCAUGUAAGUCGGGUGUGAAAGCCCCGGGCUCAACCUGGGAAUUGCAUUCGAGACUGAAUAGCUAGGGUACGGUAGAGGGAAGCGGAAUUUCCGGUGUAGCGGUGAAAUGCGUAGAUAUCGGAAGGAACAUCAGUGGCGAAAGCGGCUUCCUGGACCAGUACCGACGUUCAGGCACGAAAGCGUGGGAGCAAACAGG